UACGUAGGGUGCAAGCGUUGUCCGGAAUUAUUGGGCGUAAAGAGCUCGUAGGCGGCUUGUCGCGUCGGCUGUGAAAACCUGGGGCUCAACCCCGGGCUUGCAGCCGAUACGGGCAAGCUAGAAUUCGGUAGGGGAGACUGGAAUUCCUGGUGUAGCGGUGAAAUGCGCAGAUAUCAGGAGGAACACCGGUGGCGAAGGCGGGUCUCUGGGCCGAUAUUGACGCUGAGGAGCGAAAGCGUGGGGAGCGAACAGG
rnacentral:rRNA from 1 species